ACGGAGUAACUUAGCAAUAAGUUACUCAGUGGCGGAAGGGUUAGUAAUACAUGGGUAACCUGCCUCUAACUUGGGAAUAACGGUUGGAAACGAUCGCUAAUACCGAAUGUGAUGAUACAAGGCAACUUGUUAUCAUUAAAGUGGGGGACCAAUAGGCCUCACGGUUAGAGAUGGGCCCAUGGGAUAUCAGCUAGUUGGUGUGGUAAUGGCGCACCAAGG
rnacentral:rRNA from 1 species